AAGCCAGACUCCUACGGGAGGCAGCAGUGAGGAAUAUUGGUCAAUGGGCGCAAGCCUGAACCAGCCAAGUCGCGUGAGGGAUGACGGUCCUAUGGCUUGUAAACCUCUUUUGUCGGGGAGCAAGGCCCGCCACGUGUGGCGGGAAGGAGAGUACCCGAAGAAAAAGCAUCGGCUAACUCCGUGCCAGCAGCCGCGGUAAUACGGAGGAUGCGAGCGUUAUCCGGAUUUAUUGGGUUUAAAGGGUGCGUAGGCGGAAGGUUAAGUCAGCGGUAAAAUGUCGGUGCUCAACACCGGCCUGCCGUUGAAACUGGUCUUCUUGAGUGAGCGAGAAGUAUGCGGAAUGCGUGGUGUAGCGGUGAAAUGCAUAGAUAUCACGCAGAACUCCGAUUGCGAAGGCAGCAUACCGGCGCUCAACUGACGCUGAAGCACGAAAGCGUGGGUAUCGAACAGGAUUAGAUACCCCGGUA
rnacentral:rRNA from 1 species